UACGUAGGGUGCGAGCGUUGUCCGGAAUUAUUGGGCGUAAAGGGCUCGUAGGCGGUUUGUCGCGUCGGGAGUGAAAACCCGGGGCUCAACUCCGGGCUUGCAUUCGAUACGGGCAGGCUAGAGUUCGGUAGGGGAGUCUGGAAUUCCUGGUGUAGCGGUGAGAUGCGCAGAUAUCAGGAGGAACACCGGUGGCGAAGGCGGGACUCUGGGCCGAUACUGACGCUGAGGAGCGAAAGCGUGGGGAGCGAACAGG
rnacentral:rRNA from 1 species